rnacentral:tRNA from 1 species
GCCUGGCUGGCUCAGCUGGUAGAGCAUAGGAUUCUUGAUCUCAGGGUCAUGAGUUCAAGCCCCAUGUUGUGUG